UCCUAUCACCGCUACUUCUAAUAACUUGUUGCAAUUAAAAUGGCGUCUUUUUGAAAGAGUGACGGCCUGCCCUUCUUCUCCGUUCUCUCUUCUGUAACUAAACUUGCAUUUUUAAAAUGAAAAAGGAUUUAACACGAGUUGAGAGAAAGAGGAUGAUUGUUUUAUUUUCUCUCUUAUAUAUUUUUUUUUUUUUACAUUCAUUGACUGACUAAAAGAGCGUACGUUCGAAAAUAUGUUAAAUAAAAAUACUACUACGGUUCAUUCUUCUAUUAAAAGCCCACAGUUAUGUUGCAAAUAAAAGCUCACCCGUUGUAAUGGAUUUGAUCAUUAUAAGGAUAAAUUAUCUCUCGGAUUGUGGGAAUUUUGUUUUGUCCAAGCGCGCCAGCAAAUACAACUUCAACUAUCUGGUUCAUCUGUUUCCUUUCGGACAUAAACAAACCUUUAUUCAUAAAUCAUACUUGAUGGCCGAUGGAUAAUUUCGAACAUACUUAUAAGAUAUCUCAAUUAUGAUUUUUUAACAUUACAACUUAUCUGAAAAUUUACUGCAUAUAGAAGCUUUCCUUCACCAAAAUAUAGCUUUGCUUGCUAAUAUUUCAUCAAAAUUAUAUUAUCUAGAAAAUGUCUUCAUGUUAGUUAUGAUUUAUUGUAUGAUACAAAUAGUAUUAAAUAUUAAUUGUCAUAAUAUAAAACUUUGGUAUGUAAGUAUAGAGAAGCACAAUUAAGAUGAUUUGAUGACGCAAAUAAAAUAUGUGAUGUAUA
rnacentral:lncRNA from 1 species